rnacentral:lncRNA from 1 species
GACAGGAGAAUUCUGGAAAACAACUUCAUUCCUGUCUUCAGCAGAUCUGACAGGCCCAGAGGAGAAAGCCGGAAAUAGAAACUGGCUGCCCUUAACCCUCCACGGGUUCAAGAGAGCUGUUUGUCUAGCUCUGCAACAGAAACAUAAUGGAGCAACAUCUAUAAUUAAAAUUUUUUGUUUGUUUGUUUUGAGACAGGGUCUCACUCUGUAACCCAGGCUGGAGUGCAAUGGCAUGAUCUUGGCUCGCUGUAGCCUCUACCUCCUGCGCUCAAGCAAUCCUCCUGCCUCAGCCUCCCGAGUAGCUGG